GAUGAACGCUGGCGGCGUGCCUAAUACAUGCAAGUCGAGCGAACGGACGAGAAGCUUGCUUCUCUGAUGUUAGCGGCGGACGGGUGAGUAACACGUGGAAAACCUACCUAUAAGACUGGGAUAACUUCGGGAAACCGGAGCUAAUACCGGAUAAUAUUUUGAACCGCAUGGUUCAAAAGUGAAAGACGGUCUUGCUGUCACUUAUAGAUGGAUCCGCGCUGCAUUAGCUAGUUGGUAAGGUAACGGCUUACCAAGGCAACGAUGCAUAGCCGACCUGAGAGGGUGAUCGGCCACACUGGAACUGAGACACGGUCCAGACUCCUACGGGAGGCAGCAGUAGGGAAUCUUCCGCAAUGGGCGAAAGCCUGACGGAGCAACGCCGCGUGAGUGAUGAAGGUCUUCGGAUCGUAAAACUCUGUUAUUAGGGAAGAACAUAUGUGUAAGUAACUGUGCACAUCUUGACGGUACCUAAUCAGAAAGCCACGGCUAACUACGUG
rnacentral:rRNA from 1 species